UAUUCAAACUAUAUGAAAAAAUUCUGGAACCGCUAAUACAUUGGUAGCCUUAUGGGAACUUUAUGGGGGGGGGGGAGCGGGUCUGUAGUAACAAAACUUAUCCCUCACCUAUUCACUUAACAACAAUGCUUUAGGGUUAACAGAAAAAUGUUAUCAACAGCCUAACCUGUUUACUGUGAUAGCCCACCUACCAACCAUAUAAUUAAUGUUAGUGUCGAAUUGCACAAAUCUGAUUGGUCACUUGUCACUUCAUCAAGUGAGCAUCAGCUGAUUUGAAUUGUCACUUCAUGUGGAGCCAACGGAAGCGGUAGUAUUUUGAAUUUCUCUCUGGACUUUCAUGAUGCUAGGCAGUUAUAAACAUACUCCUUGGAAGUAUUUUAGCAGUACUGUAUUCACUAUCAAGUGGAUACUCAAGUCUCGGUAACUACUGUAAGUGAAAACUCAAUCCAGUCAACUCAAUCAUUUUAGUAGGAAAGCAUUAAUGUUUGUUUGAAGACGUAUCUGUGAAGGCCAGAAAAUUACCUGACUUACUAAAGAAGUAACUGCUAGUCUGUCAUUAGUCUCGGUAACUACUGUAAGUGAAAACUCAAUCCAGUCAACUCAAUCAUUUUAGUAGGAAAGCAUUAAUGUUUGUUUGAAGACGUAUCUGUGAAGGCCAGAAAAUUACCUGACUUACUAAAGCAAGAGUGAAACUCCGAGAAAUGUUAGUACAAGUCACAGUGAUUUAGUAUUUCAAACUAGAUUCGUUCAACGGCAUAAUUCAUACUAAUUUAGCUUGGUACCAUCGGACAAGAAAAGGCAUGGUAAUGGACAGUUGCUGCUGCAAUAUCACAAAGAAUGCUGGUUUAUGAACACCUGUAACACAAAUGGUUCUUGAAUAUUGUUUUACAUAAUAAACUCUUGUAGUAGGACAACAUUACGAAAAAAAUGCUUAUUUAAACCGGACUGUAAAAGCAAAGAACUAUGUAGAAUAGCCUUGAACUUGAGGUACAGUAUGUUUAGCAGUAAGACAUUAGCAAAAUGAUAAUAUAUGAAGGGGUAUGCUAGUAAAUGAGACCCUAGGGAAUUAAAGUCCCUACCGUAUGAUGUUUGUUGGUGUUUUAAAUUAAAGAAAUUAUGGUUUGUAUAUGAACUCAUAAUGUAUUUUGUAAGUCUGCAGAAGUUUAUUAAAGCCAUUUUUACCAAUUGGAACUGGGACCAUUGCAAACCAAUUGGAAUUGGGGGCCAGUUAAAGUUGAAGAGCAGUUGAAUUGUCCAAAAACACACAACACCAACAUUUUUUUUUAAAAAGAAUACACAGAUUGUCUAUAUAAAAUUGUUCAAUUUAUAUAUACACUUUCUAUAUACAGUAAUUGUAUUGAAUUUCUAUUCGCAUAUUUAAUGUAUUUUUAUAGGUUUUUUUUCUAUAAAAUGUUUAUAGAUUUAUAAGUGGUUUUUAUAAAAUUGUUUAUAGAUUUUCUAUAGUUUUUUAAGGUUUUUUUUAUAUAAAAUUUUCAUAGACUUUCUAUAGAAUUUUAAUAGAAUUUUCAUAGUUUUUUUAGGGUCUCACUAAAAGGCGCAUACCACCGCAUGCCGCCCAUAAUCGACGUUUAUUUUUCUUUUUUAAUGAAUUAUAAUGUGAAAUAUUAAUGCAAAUAUUACA